rnacentral:rRNA from 1 species
AUUGAACGCUGGCGGCAUGCCUUACACAUGCAAGUCGAACGGCAGCACGGGUGCUUGCACCUGUUGGCGAGUGGCGAACGGGUGAGUAAUACAUCGGAACAUGUCCUUUAGUUUGGGAUAGCCCGGCGAAAGCCGGAUUAAUACCGCAUACGAUCUACGGAUGAAAGCGGGGGAGCUUCGGGCCUCGCGCUGUAGGGUUGGCCGAUGGCUGAUUAGCUAGUUGGUGGGGUAAAGGCCUACCAAGGCGGCGAUCAGUAGCUGGUCUGAGAGGACGACCAGCCGCACUGGGAGGGAGACACGGCCCAUGGUACUACGGGAGGCAGCAGUGGGGAAUUUUGGACAAUGGGCGAGAGCCUUAUACAGCAAUGCCGCGUGUGUGAAGAAGGCCUUCGGGUUGUGAAGCACUUUUGUCCGGAAAGAAAUCCUUGGCCCUAAUACGGUCGGGGGAUGACGGUAACGGAAGAAUAAGCACCGGCUAACUACGUG